CGAACGGUCCGCAAGGACAGUGGCAGACGAGGUAGUAACGCGCAGGGAGAUCCCCCAAAGUCAGGGAUAGCCAGCCGAAAGGUUGGGUAAUACUUGAUGGUCCCGUAAGGGUAAAGAUUUAUCGCUUUGGGAGUCACCUGCGUAAUAUCAGCUAGUUGGUGAGGUAAUGGCUCACCAAGGCUACGACGUUUAGGGGAGCUGAGAGGCUGACCCCCACCGAUGGGACUGCGAUACGGCCCAUACUCCUACGGGAGGCUGCAGGCGAGAAUAUUCCACAAUGGACGCAAGUCUGAUGGAGCGACACCGCGUGAUGGAUGAAGUGCUUCGGUACGUAAACAUCUUUUAUCGAGGAAGAACUAAUUGACGGUACUCGAUGAAUAAGGGGCUCCUAACUCUGUGCCAGCAGCCGCG
rnacentral:rRNA from 1 species